AUAAACGCUGGCGGCGUGCCUAACACAUGCAAGUCGAGCGAGAAAGGCCUUCGGGCUUAGUACAGCGGCGAACGGGUGAGUAACGCGUGGGAAUCUACCUUUUAGUGAGGAAUACCCUCGAGAAAUCGAGGUUAAUACUGCAUACGUCCCUUCGGGGAGAAAGCUGGCCUCUUUGCUGGCGCUAAAGGAUGAGCCUGCGUACUAUUAGCUAGUUGGUGGGGUAAUGGCCUACCAAGGCGAUGAUGGUUAGCCGACCUGAGAGGGUGAUCGGCCACACUGGAACUUAGACACGGUCCAGACUCCUACGGGAGGCAGCAGUGAGGAAUCUUGCACAAUGGGCGAAAGCCUGAUGCAGCGACGCCGCGUGGAGGAUGAAGGUCUUUGGAUUGUAAACUUCUGUUAAGUGGGAAGAAAAGCAUAAUUAUAAUACAGUUAUGCGAUGACGGUACCAUUAGAGAAAGCACCGGCUAACUUCGU
rnacentral:rRNA from 1 species